UAAUAAUAUAAAAAAGAAAUCAACCAAACACAUAGUACCCAUUCUCUGCAACAUGUGUACCAAAAUCAAUUGGAAAGAUUGUUAUUUUGUAGGAUGGAAAAGGUAGAGAACUACUGGAGAGGGUGAAAUAUCAUGAAAAGGUUAGCGCAACGAGAAACAUACUGGAUCAACAUGUUAAAAUCCCUCCAACCUAGAGGCCUAAAUCAAGAUAUAGACCUAUGGUGCUUUCUGGAUUAGAUUCCUCCUUUGUUCUCUUAUUCUGAUCCUUACUCUGUUACUCUCCUUCUUUGGGUCAUGAAUUAUACAAAUAUGGGAAGCAUCUUCCUAGAUGCAAAUUGUGGGAAUUCUCGCACAUUCCUAUGUCAGGAACAAUCCAAUAUGGGAG